rnacentral:rRNA from 1 species
UACGGAGGAUCCAAGCGUUAUCCGGAUUUAUUGGGUUUAAAGGGUGCGUAGGCGGCCUAUUAAGUCAGGGGUGAAAGACGGUAGCUUAACUAUCGCAGUGCCUUUGAUACUGAUGGGCUUGAAUGUACUUGAGGUAGGCGGAAUGUGACAAGUAGCGGUGAAAUGCAUAGAUAUGUCACAGAACACCAAUUGCGAAGGCAGCUUACUAAAGUAUGAUUGACGCUGAGGCACGAAGGCGUGGGGAUCAAACAGG